AACGGAGGGGGCAAGCGUUAUUCAUCGUGAAUGGGCGUAAAGGGUAUGUAGACGACAGUUCUCGUUUUUUGAUGAAAAAUUCUAAUUUGGAGGAAUUAGUGUUCAACCAACGAUUAUUUGAUAGAGACGAAGGAGGUGGGCGGAAUUACUAAUGGAAAGGUAAAAUCUGUUGAUAUUAGUACGUACACCAAAGGCAAAAGCGGCUUUCUUCGACGUCUGACGUUGAGGUACUAAGGCUUGGAUAUCAAACGGG
rnacentral:rRNA from 1 species